rnacentral:lncRNA from 1 species
AUUGUGGCCCUAUUUUAACCCAUACAUAUUGCAUCUCGUCUCAUUAUUCCGGGCUGGGCAGGCAAUGGGGGACUAGAGAAGUCUACAUUUUUUCCAUCUCCUAUCAACAGAAAUGUUGUUCUGAGAUGUUGUGACAUGUCUUGAAGUUGAUGGUUAAUCAUUCAUAGAUUUUGAAAGUUAUUGUUACAAAGACAGUAAAUACCAUAGGGUUAAAAUACUAAUUGCACAACCAAGUAUACUGAGGCCAAUGCCCUAGCAAAUUAAUUCCUUUAGUUACAACUGCCUAAUCUACUUCCUUAUAAAUUAAGAGGAAACCAUUUUCUGAAAAACAGCAUUUUUAAAUUGAAAGAUUUGUUAAAACCAAGUUGUUGUUUGGAUGCAAGUAUUAAUAUGUAUUUGUUCAUGUUCAGGUGAUCACUAAGCAGGUGGAUGCUCCCUAACCUGGGGAUGAGGCAGCCCACAUGACAUCUACAAGCACCUACAUUUGUGAGCAACUAUUUUCAAGAGUGAAGCACACUAAGAGUAAAAUGAGCACAUUGAGAACUCACUGAGAAUUGCAGCUACUUCCAUCGAACCAGAUACUGAUGCACUAGUUUCUCAAGUACAGUUUCAAAUAUCCCAGUAGUUUUGUGUUGCCCUCUUUCCUUUUACUUUUAUAAUAAAAAUAUUUUAAAAAUCA